UCCGAUAACCAUUUCAAAACAAGAUUAAAACCUCGAUCCAACGUCGAGUAAUCAUUUUCAAAACUUAACAGAACCAGCACGUAUUCAUCCAUUCCUUUUGUAAUUCGAUUGCUUCAGGCAUCGCCAUUUCUCUUGUAAGUCGAUUGCUUCAGGAAUCGCCAUCUACCUGUAAGUCGAUUGCUUCAUGCAUCGCCAUCUACCCUUUAC
rnacentral:lncRNA from 1 species